rnacentral:rRNA from 1 species
CAGUAGCCACGGUAAUACGGAGGGGGCUAGCGUUGUUCGGAAUUACUGGGCGUAAAGCGCACGUAGGCGGCUUGGUAAGUUAGAGGUGAAAGCCUGGAGCUCAACUCCAGAAUUGCCUUUAAGACUGCCGAGCUAGCAGGUGAGAGAGGUAAGUGGAAUUCCGAGUAUAGAGGUGAAAUUCGUAGAUAUUCGGAAGAACACCAGUGGCGAAAGCGGCUUACUGGCUCAUACUGGACGCUGAGGUGCGAAAGCGUGGGGAGCAAACAGGAUUAGAUACCCGGGUAGUCCCUGUCUCUUAUAC